AUACCUUUCUCGGCUUUUUGGCUAAGAUCAAGUGUAGUAUCUGUUCUUAUCAGUUUAAUAUAUGAUAUGUGAGGUUAUCGGCCUGGAGCAUCCCACCAAUU